rfam:Caenorhabditis japonica strain DF5081 Contig9404.1, whole genome shotgun sequence.
AAUUCCAGCUCUCCUAGUGUAUCUCGUUAUUGCUGCGGUUAAAAAGCUCGUAGUUGGAUCUAGGUUACGUGCCGCAGUUCGCAAUUUGCGUUAACUGUGGUCGUGACUUCUAAUUUGCUGGUUUGAGGUUGGGUUCGCCCUUCAACUGCCAGCAGGUUUACCUUGAAUAAAUCAGAGUGCUCAAUACAGGCGCUUGCUUGAAUAGCUCAUCAUGGAAUAAUGAAACAGGACUUCGGUUCUUUUUGUUGGUUCUAGAAUUGAUCUAAUGGUUAAGAGGGACAAACCGGGGGCAUUCGUAUCAUUACGCGAGAGGUGAAAUUCGUGGACCGUAGUGAGACGCCCAAUAGCGAAAGCAUUUGCCAAGAAUGUCUUCAUUAAUACAAGAACGAAAGUCAGAGGUUCGAAGGCGAUUAGAUACCGCCCUAGUUCUGACCGUAAACGAUGCCAUCUCGCGAUUCGGAGGGUUCAUGCCCUACCGAGGAGCUACCCGGAAACGAAAGUCUUUCGGUUCCGGGGGUAGUAUGGUUGCAAAGCUGAAACUUAAAGAAAUUGACGGAAGGGCACCACAAGGCGUGGAGCUUGCGGCUUAAUUUGACUCAACACGGGAAAACUCACCCGGUCCGGACACUAUUAGGACUGACAGAUUGAAAGCUCUUUCUCGAUUUGGUGGUUGGUGGUGCAUGGCCGUUCUUAGUUGGUGGAGUGAUUUGUCUGGUUUAUUCCGAUAACGAGCGAGACUCUAGCCUGCUAAAUAGUCGACGAAUCUUCGGGUUCGUAUAACUUCUUAGAGGGAUAAGCGGUGUUUAGCCGCACGAGAUUGAGCGAUAACAGGUCUGUGAUGCCCUUAGAUGUCCGGGGCUGCACGCGUGCUACACUGGUGGAGUCAGCGGGUUUUUCCUAUGCCGAAAGGUAUCGGUAAACCGUUGAACUUCUUCCAUGUCCGGGAUAGGGUAUUGUAAUUAUUACCCUUAAACGAGGAAUGCCUAGUAAGUGUGAGUCAUCAGCUCACGUUGAUUACGUCCCUGCCCUUUGUACACACCGCCCGUCGCUAUCCGGGACUGAACUGAUUCGAGAAGAGUGGGGACUGUGGCUGCGAGGUUUACCACUUC